UGGGGAAUAUUGGACAAUGGGCGAAAGCCUGAUCCAGCGACGCCGCGUGAGUGAUGAAGGCCUUAGGGUUGUAAAGCUCUUUCAGUAGGGAAGAUAAUGACGGUACCUACAGAAGAAGCCCCGGCUAACUUCGUGCCAGCAGCCGCGGUAAUACGAAGGGGGCUAGCGUUACUCGGAAUUAUUGGGCGUAAAGCGUGCGCAGGCUGUUUGGUAAGUUGGAAGUGAAAGCCCAAAGCUUAACUUUGGAAUUGCUUUCAAAACUGCCUUACUAGAGUACUGAAUGGGAUAGCGGAAUUCCUAGUGUAGAGGUGAAAUUCGUAGAUAUUAGGAGGAACACCGGUGGCGAAGGCGGCUAUCUGGUCAGAUACUGACGCUGUUGCACGAAAGCGUGGGGAGCAAA
rnacentral:rRNA from 1 species